UCCGGCUUAUCACCGGCAGUCCCCCUAGAGUGCUCAACUAAAUGGUAGCAACUAAGGACGGGGGUUGCGCUCGUUGCGGGACUUAACCCAACAUCUCACGACACGAGCUGACGACAGCCAUGCAGCACCUGUCUCCGGUCCAGCCGAACUGAAGAACUCCAUCUCUGGAGUCCGCGACCGGGAUGUCAAGGGCUGGUAAGGUUCUGCGCGUUGCGUCGAAUUAAGCCACAUACUCCACCGCUUGUGCGGGCCCCCGUCAAUUUCUUUGAGUUUUAGCCUUGCGGCCGUACUCCCCAGGCGGGGUGCUUAAUGCGUUAGCUUCGGCACGGAAGGGGUCGAUAUCCCCCCACACCUAGCACCCAUCGUUUACGGCUGGGACUAC
rnacentral:misc_RNA from 1 species